UUUGGAAUAUUGCACAAUGGGGGAAACCCUGAUGCAGCGACGCCGCGUGGAGGACGAAGGAUCUAGGUCUGUAAACUCCUUUUGCCAGGAAAGACUUAGGACGGUACCUGGCGAAUAAGCCCCGGCUAACUACGUGCCAGCAGCCGCGGUAAGACGUAGGGGGCGAGCGUUGUCCGGAUUUACUGGGCGUAAAGAGCGCGUAGGCGGCUAGUUAAGUGAGAAGUGAAAUCUCCAGGGCUCAACCCGGAAACUGCUUUUCAUACUGGCCAGCUGGAGGGACGCAGGGGUGACUGGAAUUCCCGGUGUAGCGGUGAAAUGCAUUGAUAUCGGGAGGAACUCCAACAGCGAAGGCAGGUCACUGGGCGUUUCCUGACGCUGAGGCGCGAAAGCGUGGGUAGCAAACAGGAUUAGAUACCCCGGUAG
rnacentral:rRNA from 1 species